CUCCUGGAAACGGGUGGUAAUGCCGGAUGUUCCACAUGAGCGCAUGCGAGUGUGGGAAAGGCUUUUUGCGGCAUGGGAUGGGGUCGCGUCCUAUCAGCUUGUUGGUGGGGUAACGGCCUACCAAGGCGUUGACGGGUAGCCGGCCUGAGAGGGCGACCGGCCGCAUUGGGACUGAGAUACGGCCCAGACUCCUACGGGAGGCAGCAGUGGGGAAUAUUGCACAAUGGGCGCAAGCCUGAUGCAGCGACGCCGCGUGCGGGAUGGAGGCCUUCGGGUUGUAAACCGCUUUUGUUCAAGGGCAAGGCACGGUUUCGGCCGUGUUGAGUGGAUUGUUCGAAUAAGCACCGGCUAACUACGUGCCAGCAGCCGCGGUAAUACGUAGGGUGCAAGCGUUAUCCGGAUUUAUUGGGCGUAAAGGGCUCGUAGGCGGUUCGUCGCGUCCGGUGUGAAAGUCCAUCGCUUAACGGUGGAUCCGCGCCGGGUACGGGCGGGCUUGAGUGCGGUAGGGGAGACUGGAAUUCCCGGUGUAACGGUGGAAUGUGUAGAUAUCGGGAAGAACACC
rnacentral:rRNA from 1 species